UUGAAUGUUUGAAGCAGUUGAGCUGGUCUUACCGGACAUGUGCUUGCUGCUUCUAUUCAUCUCAUCCACCUGUGCACUUAUUGUAGAGCUUUGAGGAACGUCCCUAGGACUAGUAUUCAGGUUCUAUGUAUUUUACAAACUCUAUGAAUGUCUUGAAUGUCUUUUAUUGGGACUUAACUGACCCUUUAAACUUUAUA
rnacentral:misc_RNA from 1 species